AUGCACCAUAUUCUCCGAGAUAAUAGCCACGCUGUUGUUUCAAGGUCUGCGAGUUAAUCGCGAGCACCAGGGAGGAUAACGUUGCUUCAGCAACGGCCCGCAGGGCGAGGCGCAGCCGAGUAAUCCUCCCGGAUGCACCA
rnacentral:sRNA from 1 species